rnacentral:rRNA from 1 species
CACCUUCCUUAUGGAGCCUUGCUGCUGUGCAGCUCUGCUCUGUUAUGCCGGUAGUGAUGCGAUGCUGUGGGGAUGCAGACCUUGCAUGCUGCCAAGUUUCUCUCAUACAGGUACCACCCGAUCGGAGAGUACUGGCCUGGCCAUUGAGUCGUUACAGAUGAGUUUGGGGAUUCUGCACCCCAACACAGAUACCUCCCCACAAGCGGAGCUGUCGAGCCUUGGGUUCCAGCAUGGAUCGUGUUGUUGUGGAUGGUUGUGCUACUCGCUUACCUUCUGGAGCUUUGCUGCUUUGUGGCUCAGCUCUGUGCUGUGGGCGUGACGUGCCAAUGUGGGGAAGCAGACCCCGCAUGCUGGCUAAGUUCUCUCUUUCAGAGAGGGCAGUGGGACUCUUGCAAUGAUUAUAACAACCUAUCAUCAUGUCAUUAUCAAGAGCGGACAAGCUAGUAGGGAGGACAAGAUUCGCAUAUGAUUGGACAGGCCACUGGGGAGGUCUCAAGACUCACGAAUAACCUGAAAUGGUAGCUCCCUUGGGAGUGAGCUUUAAAUAAGGCUGAGGAGGAGAGUCAGGUUACUGGGUGACACAGGUGACUGCAACCUCCUUGUGGUCCCUCUGGAUAGCCGCCCUCAAGGAUGGUGUACCAACUGUGGUCCUGUGUCAUUGGUAUCAUGUCCGUCUCGCCCUAUCAGCCCACGACGUUGGUGGGCUGGUAGUAGUUGCAAAUGUGUCCAGUUAGUGAUGCUGGCUAGCUGGUAGUACCCUAAAGCAAACCCUGAAGUAAUGCAAGGCCUUAGUGCCUUUGCAGCUGCCCCUGCCACAUGGCAGGUGGAUUGCUAGCCUCAUCAGCUAGAGUACACUGGCUGGGCUGAUGAGGAGUUCUCUGCCUGGGGAACCCCACAGCCUACAGCCUAUGCAGGUAAAUUGCAGUCUUUGUCCCUGCUUUGCCCUCUAUGGUGGUGGCAGGGGGCUGGGGUUCCGGGGCUGGGGGCCGGGCCAGCGUCCUGCCUCGGCCGGCGCCUAGCAGCUGACUUAGAACUGGUGUGGACCAGGGAAAUCCGACUUUUUAAUUAAAACAAAACAUCACGAAGACCCUCGACGGGUGUUGAUGCGAUGUGAUUUCUGCCUAGUGCUCUGAAUGUCAAAGUAAAGAAAUUCAAUUAACCCGGGUAAACGGCAGGAGCAGGAGAGAGGGUGAUGUGAUCUGGAUUGGACCGCUGCUCCCCCCUAUAAGCCCACAGGAAUGACUUGGAGAGAGUGGCUCCUACGAGUUUGAUUGUCAUUCGUGUCACCCACAUUCAGGAUAGUGAUGUAGCCUUCCAAUGCAUUGGCAAUGGCGGCAAUGGGGUGUGCGUCCAUUGGUUUACCGAUCGGUUUAUUGCCCCAGCCCAUUGGCCCUGUUUUUUCUGAGCUCUGCUCCCAAGGGCCGGGUGUUUGUCAUCUUGAUGGGCAUUAACCUUUGGCCAAGUGGCUCUGUGAAGGACACGUGUGAUCCCACCCCUGCAUUUGAGGAUUAGACCCUGAUCUUGUUCAUUUCAGAUCAUGACUGUUGUCACAAGGAAUGUAUACCCCCUACUGAGCGGACAAGGUACAGAAGGGCACCAGUGGCACUACCCAGGUCUCAGGUUGGUCCCCAGAGAGACGGACAUGGUGGUGAUGGUGAGGUGGGCAGACCCCCCACUCCCCUUCUUCCACCCGCCAGUCUCUAUCGAUGAACCAGAGAGAUGGACACGGUGCUGAGGGUGGAGUGGGCAGGCAGCUGCUCCCCCUCUUACACCCGCCAUCUUUAGGGCAUGGGGCAGACAAGGUACAGAUGGGGAACACAACUAGGACUAGACCACUGGGUUUAAUCCCCAGAUCCUCGAAGGGCGAUACACUUCCCACCGAGUGGAAAAGGUACAGGAAAUUCCUUGCGGUUGGACAGGCCACCGGUGGGCUACAUUCCCACGAAUAACUCACAAUGUUAACUCCUUCAGGAGUGAGUCUUACAUAGCCAAAUGCCUCAUCAUCUAAUGAGUGAUGCGCAUGAAUGGAUGAAUGAGAUUACCACUGUCCCUACCUACUAUCUAGUGAAACCACAGCCAAGGGAAUGGGCUUGGCAGAAUCAGCGGGGAAAGAAGAGCCUGUUGAGCUUGACUCUAGUCUGGCACUGUGAAGAGACAAGAGAGUUGUAGAAUAAGUGGGAGGCCCGCCCAGGCCACCGGUGAAAUACGACUACUCUUAUUGUUUUUUCACUUACCCGGUGAGGCGGGAGAGGAGGCAAGCCCUGAGGGGCUCUCGCUUCUGGCUCCAAGCGCCCAGCACCUGCUGGGCGUAACCCUCUCCAGGGACAGUGUCAGAUGGGGAGUUUGACUGGGGUGGUACACCUGUCAAACCGUAAUGCAGGUGUCCUAAGGUAAGCUCAGGGAGGGCAGAAACCUCCUGUGGAGCAGAAGGACAAAAGCACGCUUGAUCUUCAUUUUCAGUAUGAAUACAGACCUUUGAAAGCGGGGCCUCACGAUCCUUCUGACUUUCGGGGUUUUAAGCAGGAGGUGUCAGAAAAGUUACCACAGGGAUAACUGGCUUGUGGCGGUCAAGCAUUCAUAGUGAUGUCACUUUUUGAUCCUUCGAUGUCGGCUCUUCCUAUCAUUGUGAAGCAGAAUUCACCAAGCGUUGGUUUGUUCACCCACAAAUAGGGAACAUGAGUUGGGCUUAGACCAUCGUGAGAUAGGUUAGUUCUACCCUACUGAUGAUGUGUUGUUGCAAUAGUAAUCCUGCUCAGUACUAGAAGAACCGUAGGUUCAGACAUUUUGUGUAUGUGCUUGGCUGAGGAGCCAAUGGGGUGAAGCUACCAUCUGUGGGAUUAUGACUGAACGCCUCUAAAUCAGAAUCCCCCCUAAACGUAAUGAUACCGCAGUGCUGUGGAGCCUUGGUUGGACUUGGAUAGCCGGGCCCGCCCUCCCAACCAAGGGGGGUGGGUGGCCCGGUGCAUAGAGCCGUCCAUCUCGCGAGCGGAGCGUGGCCGGAAGGGGGCCACCUCUCGCCCGUAGCGCAGUGCACAUUUGUGGAGCACCCAGCGCUAAAUCAUUAGUAGACGACCUGAUUCUGGGUCAGUGUUUCGUAUGUAGCAGAGCAGCUCCCUCGCUGUGAUCUAUUGAAAGUCAGCCCU